GUAUUUAUUUCAGUACUAUAUACACUGAAAUUGUAAUCAUACAGAAGAGACAAGCAUGGUCCCUGCACAAGGAUAGCAUGCAAACUCAUGCACAUUCCAUUUUUUUU
ensembl:snRNA U6 U6 spliceosomal RNA